rnacentral:rRNA from 1 species
GUCUACAGCCAUGCUACCCUAAACAAGACUGAUCCCGUAUGAUCUCGGAAGCUAAGCAGAAUUGGGCCUGGUUAGUACUUGGAUGGGAGACCACCUAGGAAGACCAGGUGCUGUAGGUG